CUAACGCAUUAAAUAGACCGCCUGGGGAGUACGGCCGCAAGGUUAAAACUCAAAUGAAUUGACGGGGGCCCGCACAAGCGGUGGAGCAUGUGGUUUAAUUCGAUGCAACGCGAAGAACCUUACCUACUCUUGACAUCCAGCGAACUUGGUAGAGAUACCUUGGUGCCUUCGGGAACGCUGAGACAGGUGCUGCAUGGCUGUCGUCAGCUCGUGUUGUGAAAUGUUGGGUUAAGUCCCGCAACGAGCGCAACCCUUGUCCUAUGUUGCCAGCACUUCGGGUGGGAACUCAUGGGAGACUGCCGGUGAUAAACCGGAGGAAG
rnacentral:rRNA from 1 species